rnacentral:rRNA from 1 species
AUACGGAGGGUGCAAGCGUUACUCGGAAUCACUGGGCGUAAAGCGCGCGCAGGCGGGCUGAUAAGUUGGAUGUGAAAGCCUACGGCUCAACCGUAGAACUGCAUCCAAAACUGUCAGUCUAGAGUGUGGGAGGGGAAGAUGGAAUUAGUUGUGUAGGGGUAAAAUCCGUAGAGAUAACUAGGAAUACCAAAAGCGAAGGCAAUCUUCUGGAACACUACUGACGCUGAGGCGCGAAGGCGUGGGGAGCAAACAGGAUUAGAAACCCCAGUAGUCC